rnacentral:lncRNA from 1 species
UGAGAACAAAUCAGCGACCGGUAGGCACUUGUGUUUGGAAGCUAUAUCACGUUAUGGUGACUUUGUGGCAAAGGUUGCUGAACUUUACCCUGAGUACAAGGUUCACAGGUAAGUUUUGGUCCACAAAAUGCAUUUGCAAAUGAAAUUUUGUGCAUAUCUUAUGUUUUAGAUGUUUGGUUUCCUGAUAAGUGAAUGUUUCGUCCCUUGUCAGAAGCACAACUUAAAAAUAUACUAUGUCUUGAUUUUUUAAACCGAGGUUUCUUAGAUGCACUGAACUCUUCUACAGCUGGAGGACCAUGGUUUUUUCUCUCUUUUUUUCCUUCCAUCACGUGUUUUAGAUAUUUGAGACCAAAUUAGCGAAUUGAAAUCUGAUUUUUCCUAUAAAAUAGUUUUCAUGCGGGUAUAGAUUUGCAUACAUCAUUUUUCUUUGGUCUGUUUAGAAUCACUCCCAAAUGUUGCUUUCCAAGUUUAUCAACCGUUAGGUGCAUUCUCGCUUGCCUUGGAAGAAUUUUGUAAAUUUUUAGGUGGUGUGAGUGCCUGAUUUUGAAAAUGAUCGAGCUAAUAUGUUUGCCUUUGUGUAGUUUGCCAAAGGACACCCAACUGGGCUUGCUGAGGGAAAAGAACGCAGCGAAGAAGCUAAUGAACUUGGGUUUAGAAUUCAUUCCCAUGGAUCAAAUUAUCAAGGACGGUGUGGAGAGCCUAAAGAGCAAGGGAUUUAUUUCAUAAAUAAAACUGCAGGGAUAUGAAACUUAUCAGGGAUUGCAAGGGAUUUAUUUCAUAAAUAAAACUGCAGGGAUAUGAAACUUAUCAGGGAUCUAGGUAUGUCUUGUACAGUUGUACUAGUUGCGAGGACAUGUAACCUGAAUGGUUGUUUCAACUCCCUUGAAUAUUCCCUUUUCUGUGAAGAAAAUACUAUUAAUGAUUGUACGAUAAAUUUACCUUAAAGUUCACACUUAAAUCGGGUUAGCUGUUAGAAUAUCAGUGCAUUGUUGGACUGGAACGCUACGUGGUGGCUAACCAGUUCCACGUAAGUCCUCCCAGUCUACGUCAAAUUCUUUGUAUAACGAGGGAAUUUCUCUUGAUUUUCACCACACCGAAAGUUAAAAGGACUAAUAGCAAAUAAUUCCUAACAUGGCUAGUACUGUGGAAGCAAAAGCAGCAGCAACAGCUCCUCCAUCUUCGGUUGGUGGGGACGUUAGCAAAGUAGAUUCCAAUGUUCUUGAGAAAAUCCUCCCAGAGUAAAUGUACGGUCGGGCAGUUGAGGUGCGUAGAGAAGAGUACCAUAGGCAGAGAUUUGAGUCCAGUUACUGAUAUGUUGUGGCGGAAUUUCUACGUGAAGGAGUUCGGUGCUUCGAGGUUGAAGAGUCGGCAUCAAAUGGAAGCUUCUCGGAAACAAUGCCGGCAAGUUUUUGUUGGCACAGGGGCAGAGGUUCCGUCAUUGUCAAGAACCAACAAAAGUAGCAGCAGCAGCAACACCCUUGGGGUUGGCAGCGACAAUGUUUCUGUCCGAAAAAAGGAAAGCUUGAUCAUGAAGAAAGCAAAGAGUUACUGUUCCAAGAAAGAUUCGACAACAUUCAAGAGAAGCGCCAUCGUUUCUGAAGAUUACGCUCCAAAAUUUUGACUACUACAAACUAGGCAACAUCAGAGCUUGCUUGAUAGCCUAGGCCUUUUAGUUUUGAUCAAAUCUACUCCCUCUCCUGACAAUGUUCUAUAUAAAUUCGAACAAUACUUGGCUACUUAAAAUGCAUAAAAUGUUCUUUUAGUCUUUGACACAACUGACAAAUGGUGUUAUUAAAAGAUUUAAUAUCUUCAAACAUUUACUUUAAAGAAAUUAUACCCUUAUGAAUCUUUGGUUGCCGAGAAUACAUGGGAAAGUUACUGUCUUUUUGUUUGUGUGUUGUCUAGGAAUAGUAUUGUCGUGGGUUUCAGAAUGUGCAGAAGAUUGGUCUAUUAGUAAGGUUGUGAUAGAGAUAGUUGUUUACAUAAUUUUGUUACUUUCAGGGUUCGAAUGUAUCGAAAAUGGUCUAAAUUUCGUUACUUAAAGUAAGUAUUGGGGUUUGCUCAGUAUAGUGAACUCUACCAGAAGGUUACAUUGUUGUUGUACAUUGAUUUUCAACCGGAAAAGCACUUGGAAGUGUUUCCUGGACUAGCUUUUAAGUCUAUCAACUAGGGUUUUUCCAGGUACUUUUGUAUAGAACUUAACACUAAUGCGUAUUGUCAACUCCGCAUUCAGGCACAUCACCAUAGUAUCAAGGAUAAAAAUGUAAUGACACCUACAAGAGAGAAUCCUUAGAGGAUAAGGAAUCAUAGUUUGUUUUGGUUGUUUUUCCUUUUCUGUUAGCUGUAACAGUUUGUGUAUAAAUACCCAAGUGUAAACAUUAUUCAGUUAUGCAAUGGAAAAUAUUUUUCCUAAUAUGGUAUCAACCGCCAAUAGUCCUAUGACAACUCUCCCUCUUCGAUCCUCCUUUCCCGCUUCUUUCUGCACCGCUUGACUUUCCUCUUCUUCUCCGAUCAAUCGAUCGAUUUCUUUAUCUUGAUCGUGAAUUCUUCUUCAACCUUCAGCUAUGGCGGACUCUGCAUCUCCUUCCUCAGGAUCAGAUCCUCCUGCUCAUCCGCUUCCUACAGAAAUCCCUAACCCUAAUUCUGCGAUUUCCUCUUCCAUCACCAUCCAAAAUAUUGGAUCUAUGGUUCCAAUCAAGCUUACAACUACAAAUUACCUGACUUGGAGUGCUUGAUUUGCAUCGAUUGUCAUGCCCCGAUCCCGACGUACAUCUAGGAUUGACACGUGACGUUAUCAAAUAACCAUAUAUCUAACAUACCCGUCUAUGAGAUAUGAACCAAGCACAUGCCAUGCCUCGAAUUGCGUAGUAAAUUUUGUACACUUUAUGGAUGCAUCUAACAUUCUCGUUAGACUGCCUAUGUACCCUACACAGGAAUCAAGCCAUUCGUAGUUCAUCUUCGCUACAACUCGACAUAUAACACAGUCAGUUCAAGCCAAAAGGCAUAACAUUCCUCAAUCAAACUUUUGGACUUGACAAGCAUGAAAUUAUUCGCUUCAAGCUACAUAACAACCCACAUGACAAUCAAGGUUUCUAUUUCAUCCAUCAUAUAAAUCAUUAUCUUUCAACAUAAAAUCGCAAUUCAUAUCAUGUGAUAUAUCAAAGAAUCAACAAAGCACAAUAGUAUCCUCUAGUCGUAUUGAUCAUUGAUCUAAUCGUAUUAAUAACAAUCAUAUUCAACAUCACUUCACAUUCACCUCAAGUAAUCCAUUCCAUGAGUCAAGGAGACACGAUAUUAACAUUUAAUUACGUUAAUUAGUCAACCAGAUCACAUAUCGGUGCACGAAAUUAAAUGAAAGAAUUCUACAUAAUUCCCUGCCUGGAUUCUAAGUAAUAACUUGAUAAUUCUAAUUUAUAUUCAUAAGGUCUAUUGUGGGUAAUUCUCAUGCAUUCAAAUCUAAUGUUCUAGACUAACCUUAUGGCAAUGAGCAAGAGCAAGGAAUCCGAACUACUCAACAAAAUCCAACAGUCUUGGGUUCUGGACCACUCAACGGAACUAAAAUACCAAGUGUGGAGCCAAAAAUAUUCACUAGGCGACACGUGGACUUUUGGACAAAAGAGGACAAAAAUACCCUCGAGGCAUACCGGGUUUCCUACACGCGAGCAGUAGAGAAUCAUUUUUUCAACCAAGUCAAAAGUGCCCAAAAUAGGUAUCAACUUAAAACCUAAUUUAUUCAUAUAUUUCCCAUUUCAUUAUUUAGCUAAUCAAUUAGCUAAAUAAUAUACUUAUUCCUUUCAUAUUUCAUAAAAUCAUAAUAAAUUGACUAAUUAAGGGAUUAAUUACCUAAUCAAUCCCUUAAUUGUCAAUUUGAAACAUCCACUCAAACCUAAAAACACAAGAGGGCCGGCUAUCCCAUUGAAAAACCUAAUCCAUUACCUUUUUUCUACCUUUUCCCACCAUUUUCUUCCUUUUUAUUAGCCAAUUAUACAAAAAACCACCAAAACAUUCAUUUUAUGUUUAAUAGCCAAAUAAAUUGGCUAAUUAAACCUAAAAACCCUAGCCACCUCCUAUCCCUAUAAAUAUACUCCCAUUCUCACCAAAAAGCUAAUUCCAACACUUUGGUAAAAAUCCCAAAAUUCUCUAAACACUCUUUCUCUCUAAAUUCUAACUUUGGCAUCGGAGGUUCUUCGGCCAAAGCCCCCUCCAUUCAUCGUGGGCGCGUGAGGCUCUUGGCCUUAACCUAAGGUGUUAAUUGUUUUGUAGGUGCAAAAUCGUCCAAGAUCAAGGAGGAAGAAAUUUGCAUCCACAAAUUGGUGCUUUCAUUGAGAGUUGAAAUCCAUACUCGUAGAAGACUCUCGCACAAAAAAGGUUUUUUCUUUAUUUUCUAGUCCAUUUGAAUAUUUUUCAUACGUUCUUAUUAUUAGAAUUUUUUACUUGCAAAGGUUCUUUGAUAAAACGUAUAAGCAAAAUAUAAUGGCUAGAAAUUUAGAAAAUUCCACAAGUGAAAAUUCUAAUGUUCAAGAAAUGGGAUUGCGGAGAUCCGUGAGGCUAAAUGCGACAAUAAGGGGAGCGGCAUCAUCAUCACGAGCUUCAACCAUGGGAACCACCGUGGUGGCUACUUCGGUAGCUACCCGCGGCGAGGUCCAUGGUGCCUUCACCACGGCCACCAUGGGAACCACCGCGGUGGCUACUUCGGUAGCCACUCGUGGCGAGGUCCAUGGAGCCUUCACCACGACCCGGAGAUCCGUAAGGCAAAAUGCGACAAUAAGGGGAGCGGCAUCAUCACCACGAGCUUCCACCAUGGGAACCCACCGUGGUGGCUACCUCGGUAGCCACCCACGGCGAGGUCCAUGAUGCCUUCACCACACGGCCACCAUGGGAACCACCACGAUGGCUACUUCGGUAGCCACUCGUGGCGAGGUCCAUGGAGCCUUCACCACGGCCCGAGCCGUGCCAUCCAAGGCUCACGGUACCAAGACCACGAUCCAAGCCGUGCCAUCCAAGUUCACGUGGACCCAAGCCCAAGCCUCGCAUUCACAUGCACCGCGUAUUGAGCAGCCUACUCCCGUGAUCCAGCCUGCUCCCGUCGAGCAACCCACUCCCGUGGCCCAGCCUGCUCCUGCCAAGCAGCCCACUCCCGUGGCCCAGCCUACUCCUGCCAAGCAGCCUACUUCCGUGGCCCAGCCUGCUCCCGCCAAGCAACCUGCUCCUGCCAAGCAGCCUGCUUCCGUGGCCUAGCCUGCUCCCGCCAAGCAACCUGCUCCUGCCAAGCAGCCUGCUCUCGUGACCCAGCCUGCUCCCAACGAGCAGCCCACUCUCAAGGCCCACACUGCUCCCGUGGCUUUCCAAGCAGCCCAAGUCGGCCCAAAACUAUCUCAACCAUCUGGACCUACCAUCGAGCCGGGGGCAUUCUCACCACAUUUUUUCACGGAUUUGACAUUUCCCAACUCAAAUCUCGCGCCCGGAGUCUACCACCAUUCCACUGCUCAAGGAGGCGCAUUCAUUCCAAGCUCUUCCAAUCCAAAUGGCGAACAACACUUGUCUCGACAAGUCAUAGAGUUGACGAGCGCCCUUGCACAACAGACAACUUUGGUGAAUCAACUUUUGCAACGCAUCGGGAUCCAACAUGCCCCGGACGAGGUAUCCCGAAGUAGGACAAGGGCAGACGAACCUUUCCAGCAGCAUCCCAGCAAGCAGCCAUUCGACCAGCCACGAGUUGAACGUUCAGGCAGUGUACAUUCCCGAUUGGGCCCCCGAGAUAGCGUAUACUCCCGUUUUAGCGCGCGGAUGAGCGUGUACUCUCGACUAAGCCAACGGAUGAGCAUACAUUCACGGUUGGGGUCACACUCCGAUAGUCAACAUGAGCAACCUUCCAGACAAAGUGUUCAUUCGCGGCUAAGCCCACAAGGAGCAUCAUCCACCUCACAUCAGAGUAGGCAGCACGACGGACGGAGAGAAGCAGUCACUCAAUCCAGCUCAAGUUCAACCAGCAGCCUGCGAAGAACUCGCUCGCCUGCUAGGAAUGCACCAUAUGCACUGCAUAUGCGGCAUAAACGAGCCAAACACAUGGAAGAGCAGCCUAGACCAGCAAGUCAUGGCUGGGGGCAGCCGAGAGCUGCACUACCCCAACAAAGGCAAAUUCAGGAAGAAGUAGAGAGACUCUUGACCAAGCGAUUGCAUGAUUUCCAACGCAAUGAGGUCACCGACGAGGCACUACGAUGGAACAUGACCAACAUAAGCAGGUCACCCUUCACGGACGAGAUCGAGCAGGCAGAGCCUCCACGAGAGUUCAGCAUGCCAUAUUUCACAUCUUUCAAAGGGGAUGAAGACCCGGAGAGACACUUAAAGCGCUACCGAAGUGCAAUGAUCCUUUAUCGAAACAACGAUGAGCUCAUGUGCAAGAUAUUCGCCACCACUCUACAAGGCGAGGCGCAAGAUUAGUUCUACACCUUGCCGCCACAAUCCAUCCGGGAUUUCUACGAACUUUCUUUGGUUUUCACCAAAGAAUAUUCAUCCUAUCGCUCGAUCAAAAAGAAGUCUGAUCAUUUGUUCAACGUCAAGAAGAACCCAAAGGAGUCGCUUCGCGACUAUGUGAGGAGGUUCAAAGUAGAGAAGGCAAAAAUAGUCGGAUGCAACGACUCGAUAGCUAGAGCAGCCUUCCAAAAAGGACUUCCAGCAGACCACCCGCUAUUCGGAAAAUUGAUCAUGAAAGAAGAUCUAACUCUGGCAGACUCUUUUGCUUUGGCAGAGAAGUAUGCACUUUGGGAUGAGGCUCGCCAAUGCACAUUCAAGGACUUGAAGAAGUACCCGACAUCACCUCCCUAGAAGCAGUGGAUGACUUAUUCACAUGUUUGACGUUAUCUAAAGUAGCAAUAAGCUCUACCAUCAUGCGAGAAGAGAUGGGGGCCCGACUACCUGUAUUCCACAGUUACCUGUAUUCUACAGUUCAAAAGCUCUCCUCGAUGUUAUUAAAAAUUCAAAAGUUAACUUUGGCGAUAGUUGUUGCAAUAAGCUCUACCAUCAUGCGAGAAGAGAUGGGGGCCCGACUACCUGUAUUCCACAGUUACCUGUAUUCUACAGUUCAAAAGCUCUCCUCAAUGUUAUUAAAAAUUCAAAAGUUAACUUUGGCGAUAGUUGUUGCAACCUAGAAGCACAAAUUUUACUUUCAAACGCAUGCAAUCAUCCUAAUGACGUACUAUUCUGCCCAAUCCAGACGCGCGACGAUAAAGGCGUAGACCCUGGCGGAUGUAAAGUUUUCUGAUGAACGCAACACUGGAAAGACACACUUGAAAGCAAGUUUUAUCCUCGUCACCCUGAAAGAUUCUACAUAGGAGCAACAUGUACCGGCAGUUGAGUACCAUUUCUUGCUGCGCAUCAUACGGCCCUAGCCGACCCUUGCUCAAUGAUUCAACUCUAGAGUGGCCCAAUACCGGCAGUUGAGCAUCUCCUGUUGCGUAUGACAUGGCCCCAUCUCCACAGCUCCCUACUGCACCUUCACGCCGAGCCUAGGUGACGCAACAAAGCGGCCCAACGAUGCCUCAGAAGUAGCCGAGCACACUCUAGCUGCGCCUACUCCACCCGAUGGAGACUUCUGCCAUUUACAUGUCGACGGCGCAGAAAAACCUUCGUCACUGCCGGCAGAGAAGGCUCCAAAAAGAUGGAUCCCAUCUGGGAAGGUCCGUACAAGAUCAGCAGAGUAGGGGGCAAGAGUAAUUACACCCUCACCACCAUGAAGCGGCAAAAAUAUUGAAAAAAAAAUGGAUGGCCUACAAUCUGAAGAAGUACCAUGUGUGACCUCCCGCUACAUCAAAACCCGAAGAUUCAAUAAGCUCGACGGGCACCACCUCACAAGCUGAGGACUAUCCAGUUGUUAUGCAGUUCCUACCUUACAGCUAAAGUUCUCGUUCGUUUUACUCGUUUUUCAAUGAGGAAUUUAGAAGUAAUCACAACUUGGCUUGGUUGCAUGCUUACAACAACUAAUCACUCUUGCACUUCAAAAGAAAACUGCACCCUUCUUAGGGACUCAUCGCAGGAAUUGCGCCCCCCGAGUGACCAACCAUGCUCUCCAGUGCGAGAGGGUAAACCAAUUCUCCGACACCCAUAUGGGUCAACUCUCCAAGACGGGAGGAUAAACUUUACACUCCGAAUAUCCAGACAUGGAUGAGCCUGGCUGCCCUAGUAUAACUAGAUGCACGAUGGCUUGCGCCGGGAUUCCUAGAAGUAGCCGCAAUGGUCUUUUUCAAGGUUUAGCUAACUGAAGGAUUUUGGGUCUCUUGGCCUAAUCCGUGGGGAACCGGGCCCUAGAGACGGAGAGGGCACAUUACGCAGUAUAUCCGAUGGAUGGCUGCCCUGGAAUCCUAAAGCUGCUACCGAGUGCACUAAGGUAGCCUACGGAUUCCGGAAGACUGCCUACGGCUUGCCCUUCGAGCAGUGAAGCCGCACUAGACUUAUACAACCGCACAUUCUUGUGAAAGGUUAGACAAGCUAGCGCGCAUAUACGAAGUUUUAUCCACUGCCGACAUGCUACGUAGUCGAUAAGCUUCACCUCUGCCAAGCGCGGAACAACCUACACUAAGUCCUAAAGUGUUGUGAUACUUGCUACGCAACCUACGGAAUUGAAGAAAGUCAAAGUUAACAGCCUAGUGGUUACGCGGACUUGUCUGCUUCUGUAAGUAAGGCAUCCGGCUGCCAACCCUAUGGCUAACAACUUUGCAAAGUUCUACACCAACACCUACGGCUGCAUAGGCUACGCGAGUUUGUCUGCUUAUAAAAAAGUAGCAUGCCUGCCACUGGUCUAUCAAGUCUAAAGGUUAGGGCAUGAACAAAAAAAGUGAAGAUGAAGAAAAACGAAGGAAAACAUAUUUAUAAACAACUAGCAAAGGUUGAAGGAGUUCAAGCAAAACAAAAGCUACAAGGAAAAACAAAGAAAAUCCUAAAGGCUACCUAAAAUACUACACUACAGCAGCUUGGACAUUCCACGACUACUCGGUCGCCACACCUUCAACAGCCGUAACGCUCUUAGCAGCGGCAUCAUUCGGCGCUUCACCCCCGGCCGCCCCAGUCUGGGCACUAACUUCUCCAACUACUUCACCAAUGGAAGCCUUAAAAGUAAAAGCAAGCAAGUCUUCCGGAGAAAUAGAGAAGCUCAUCCACUCUCUUCUUAGCAUAAGUAGCGAAACGAAGCUCAGAAAUUGCAAGCUUAAGAUCUUGAAUCUGAGGCGAAUAAAUCUCAGCAGCAAAGGGAGCAGGCUUUGGCGCCACUUUAGCAGCAGAGUCCACCUUACCACUCUUCAUAAUAGCAAGUCUCUACAAAGGUGAACCGGACUUGGCUCCCAAAGAACGUCCUACAGACUUCGGCACUGGGGGCAUGAUAAAACCUUUACGCUGAGUAAUCUUAUCCACAAUUGUACUAGCCAUUCUCAACAUGGAAGACGCCACAUGCUCAGAUUUAGCAGCCUUACAUUUCUUCCCAUUGGAAAAUCAUGUCAAUCACAUACCUCUCGGUAGCAAGCGGACCCUCAUGAGCAGCAGAAGAAGUCUUCAGUUUUUUCUUAACUGGCAUCUCAUGAGCAGGCGGGGAAGAUCUCUUCUUUCCAUCUUCAUUCAUAGUAAGCUCCACGACAGCGAUCAGACGAGCCAAUGCAUCCGCCUUGAUCAUCUUUACCUCCUCUUUCUGGAGCAGCCCACAUUUCUUUCGGCAAAGAGGACUAAGCAGCCAACGACAUUCAUGGUACUCAGCAGGGGAGCUCAACCUAGCAUUCCAACAGGCAGGAGGCCUGCAUGCCCAACAUUCCAGCAGCCCAUGAGACCCGCAAUCUCCUUAUUUCUCUCAAUCACCAGCCUGGCCCGAGUCAGGUCCAAGAGCCCAAAGGACAUGAGCCAUGCGGCUCGCCUAGCACUGCGCCCCAGCGCCACAAUCCGCGACCCUAGUUGCAUAAGCUGCCUUUUGGCUCAAGCCAAGCCAAGCUGCCCAAGCAGUGGUCCCUGCCACAACAUCUCCUCGGCCCAUGCCGAGCCAACUCCUGGCCCCUGCCAGCCGAUGUGCCGCACCACCCCGACGGCUGCCCCGCAAUAGCACUAUCCAAGAAUAAGGCAAGAAAAAUUAAAUUUUUCUUACAUCGGUGCGGCACGAAGAAGACGAAGAAAGCAACGAAAGACGGUCCUUUGCACGGGCAAGAUGUAGAAGAUUGCUAGAGGAGGGGGAACAAAUAUCCUCUAAGCUAUCUCUCUCUUGUAGGGUAGAAUAAAUCGCUCUCCAAAGUUGAUUUAAUAACCCACUUAAGGUGGACUUAAAUAGGCUUUGAGAGAAAUUUAUUUCCCUUUCCUAGAAGGAUUUAAUUUCCUAUUAAAGAGAGAAUCAACAUCAAAAUAGGAAGCAGUCUUAAGUUUCCUAAAGCAAGAAGAUCUCUACACCUGCUGCCCUUUUUUGCGAGCAGCCCAACAGGUGUGGGGGCAUUUGUGGAGCCAAAAAUAUUCACUAGGCGACACAUGGACUUUUGGACAAAAGAGGACAAAAAUACCCUCGAGGCAUACCGGGUUUCCUACACGCGAGCAGUAGAGAAUCAUUUUUUCAACCAAGUCAAAAGUGCCCAAAAUAGGUAUCAACUUAAAACCUAAUUUAUUCAUAUAUUUCCCAUUUCAUUAUUUAGCUAAUCAAUUAGCUAAAUAAUAUACUUAUUCCUUUCAUAUUUCAUAAAAUCAUAAUAAAUUGACUAAUUAAGGGAUUAAUUACCUAAUCAAUCCCUUAAUUGUCAAUUUGAAACAUCCACUCAAACCUAAAAACACAAGAGGGCCGGCUAUCCCAUUGAAAAACCUAAUCCAUUACCUUUUUUCUACCUUUUCCCACCAUUUCUUCCUUUUUAUUAGCCAAUUAUACAAAAAACCACCAAAACAUUCAUUUUAUGUUUAAUAGCCAAAUAAAUUGGCUAAUUAAACCUAAAAACCCUAGCCACCUCCUAUCCCUAUAAAUAUACUCCCAUUCUCACCAAAAAGCUAAUUCCAACACUUUGGUAAAAAUCCCAAAAUUCUCUAAACACUCUUUCUCUCUAAAUUCUAACUUUGGCAUCGGAGGUUCUUCGGCCAAAGCCUCCCCCAUUCAUCGUGGGCGCGUGAGGCUCUUGGCCUUAACCUAAGGUGUUAAUUGUUUUGUAGGUGCAAAAUCGUCCAAGAUCAAGGAGGAAGAAAUUUGCAUCCACACCAAGUUGUUUCUCGUACUUUACACAGACUUGUCAUAUCCAGUGCCUACAUCAAGGGAAUGAUGCACUAGCAAUUCAGAACUCGGUUAAGAUGCGAAGCUCGGGUGAGUGACAAUAAUACAAGUAUGUAAUAUUCAAUAAAAACAUACCAUCGAUCAUAAUCUAUAAACAUUGAGUAUAGAGUCAUGCUUUAUGAAAUCAUAAUCAAGUCGCUGAAAACUCCGAAUGAGUCACCCAGACAUCCAACAGCCUUUCCCAUUCAAACCACCAAGAUUCCCAAAAACCAUCGUUCAUAUAUACAUUAAAACUAGGGCUAGAGGGAAGCAAUUCGGUCGAAGCCUACAUAAGUAACCAAACAGAAAGUGGCCCCCCCCAAAGCGGAUUAACCAAGCAGAGCCACCCUUGAGAAAGUAACCUAGUAGGCAGUGACCCCCCCCAACGCAGAUUAACCAAGCAGGGUCACGCUUACAUCUGUUAGGAAGUGAUCACCCAAUGCGGAUUAACCAAGCAUGAUCACUCCUAAGCAUACAUGGCCAUAAGGAUCACCCAAUAUGGAUUAACCAAGCGCGGUCCGCAUAUGUAGCAUGGUCCCCCAAUGCAGAUUAACCAAGCAGGGUCAAGAUAACCAAGUAGGUAGUGACUCCCCAAUGUGGAUUAACCAAGCAGAGUCAUACCUAUAGAACUGUUAGGCAGUGAUCACCCAAUGCGGAUUAACCAAGCAUGAUCACCCUUAAGUGUGUAUGGCCAUACCUAGGAUAUAAGGAUCGCCCAAUGUGGAUUAACCAAGCGCGAUCCACAAAUAGUAUGGUCCCCUAACGCGGAUUAACCAAGCAGGACCAUCCAUGUACCAUUGCUACGUGGUGCAGACUUAGUGUCACCUAACCCCAUGACACUAGGGUAACGGUCCUUUACAAUCUCUCAUAUUUAUCAAACCAUCAAAUAUAUAUUUCAAAACACAAUCCAGCAACAGUUCAAAUACCCAAGUCACAUAAUGUUUCAUAAGUAGAUCAAUGGCAAACUUUAUAACAACAAUUAUUUAGCAUAAGACUUAUUUUAAGAAUCCAUGGUGUAACCGCAAAGUAUAUUAGCACAGAAGAUUUCAGAGUAAUAACCAUAUCACAUAGAUUAAAAUCACUCACAUGAGGUCCGCACUAACGCACUCUAGCAUGGGAUUCAAGGCGUCAAGCUCUAUCACUGCCUAAAACAAAGCACAAGUCCACAUUUAGAUUUCUCUCAAUAAAUUCACAUACCCAAAACUCUCAUAAGUCUCCCACAACGACGUUUAAUGAGAAUCAGACCGUCGAUCAAAGGUAUAGUCCAUGAUCUUACAUCACUUGCUCCGUAAGAUCCAACCACUAGAUUUUCACUAGUAAGUCCCUACAGUCCUUAAACAAUAUCUACAAUAGCAUUCUAAAAUUUGGUGUCAAUUCAAUGGUAAGAUCGUCAAUUGCUAGAGUAUUCAAGUGGCGGACCUUAUCAAAAAUAUACUCAACCAACAGCAUUCAUAAAUCGAAUGUCACACAUCGGAAAAUUUGACUUUUUCCAAAAAUUCUCAAAUUUUACAAGAAUGAAGAUAUCAACAAGUAGAUGUGAGUGAAGCACAAUUGAGGGACAACAAGCAACUUUUUCGUCUCAAACUUGAUUUUGGAAAAGUGGUAUACGAGGCUAGAGACUGCAGUGUACAAAUAAUGAAAGUCUUCCGACCACACGAUGAUCUAGAAUAUUUAGAGAUUGAUUGGAAUUACAGUGAUGUGUAUUUUGGCUCGACCUUCCCGAAUUGGCUGAUAUCUUUAAACAAGUUGCGAUUCCUUAUUCUGUCAGGGAAUAAGGGUUGUCAAGUUUUGCCUCACCUUGGGAAAUUGCCCUUCCUUGAAGAACUCUACGUAGGGAGGAUAUUGGGUGUAAAAAAGGUUGGUGGCGAGUUUUUGGGAGUAGGAGAUGAUGAUCAAACAACUUCUUCAUUCAAAUCAUCCUCAUCAAUAUUAUUCCCAAAAUUGAAGCGACUCCGAUUUCACAGACUGACGUCUUGCAAGGACUGAGAAGGCGUGAAAGGGUGGAACGUGGAUUGUGAAAUUACAAUCAUGCCAUGUCUUUCUUCUUUAUAUAUAAUUCAGUGCUUUGACCUAGAAACACUGCUAGACUUCUUAUGGAAAACACCAUUGCAGAAUCUUAUCAUUUCUUCGUGUUCGCAACUUGCCAGACGUUGCAAAAAAGGACAGUGGCCCAAGAUUUCUGAAAUCCCAAACGUCGAGAUUGAUAAUUUCUAGUAUUCUAAUGUAGAAAUUGUAGUGCUUUGAAUUUUUUUUACUUCGUUUGGAUAAUGUACAAAUGCAAAUAAUUUAAGGUGUAAAGUGCAAAGUGCAAAAAAAAAAAAAAAAAAAAAAAGAAGAAGAAGAUUUUGGGCUUGAGUUGAGUAUCAUGGCUGUUUUUUUGUUUUGGGCCUUUCUAUAAGAAAAAUAUGCACGCGGCCCAAUUCAUCUUGAUCAUCAACAACAAUCGGCUGGAAAUAACUGGAGCACUUGACAGCUGAAAGCAGAGGGACACUGCAGGGAGGAUGUCGAAGCACGGUGAGGUUGUAUGCGUUACCGGUGGAAGCGGCUGCAUUGGAUCCUGGCUCGUCCUUCUCCUCCUCCACCGUGAUUACACCGUCCACGCCACCGUCAAGGAUCUCAGUAACUUUCCCCCUGCUUUUCACUUUAUCUACACAACUGCCACAAUGCCAUUCAUUUCAUUCCAAUUCCAUUCGCUUUCAGUCUAAAUUGAAUAAACGCCGUCAUUUUCUGUGUUGCAGAGGACGAGGACGAGACGAAGCAUCUAGAAGCGUUAGUAGAGGGAGCAGAGUCGCGCCUCCGUCUCUUCCAGAUUGACCUCCUCGACUACAACUCCAUACUCGCCGCCGUCAAUGGCUGCUCCGGUGUCUUCCACCUCGCCUCUCCCUGCAUCGUCGAUCAAGUCCACGACCCCGAGGUUCGCGCCAGUACACAUUAUCAAUUUCCUUCUAAUUUUGAUUAUAUUUGAUUAAUUAUGCGUAAUUUUGAAAACGUUGUGCUUUUUUUUGUUUAAUCCGCAGAAGGAGCUUCUGGACCCGGCGAUCAAAGGAACGCUCAAUGUUCUGACGGCGGCGAAGCACGCUGGGGUCAGCCGUGUGGUGCUGACGUCAUCCAUUUCCGCCAUCACUCCCAGCCCAAGCUGGCCGUCUGAUAAGGUCAAGGGCGAGGAUUGCUGGACAGACAUUGACUACUGCAAGCAGAAGGGAGUGAGUUACUCCAAUGCCUAAUUGUGUUUUGAAAAACCGCGGUUUAUUGUCUGCUUAAUGUCCGCAUUCUAUUUUCUUAUUGAAAGUUUGUAACUUUCGGUGCGCGUUUCCCCUGCUUGUAUUGAAUUUUUCAUCUUUGAUUACUAAGUCUUUGUUUUUAACUGAUUGAAGUUUUCACAAAUGGGGACUGUAAUGCUGAUUGUGUUUGGUGUUUGGCUAGUUGUGGUAUCCAUUAUCGAAAACGCUGGCAGAGAAAGCGGCGUGGGAAUUUGCCAAGGAGAAGGGGCUGGAUGUGGUUGUGGUGAAUCCAGGCACGGUGAUGGGCCCUGUUAUCUCGCCCAGGCUCAAUGCUAGCAUGUUGAUGCUUGUUCGCCUUCUUGAGGGUACUUUUCUCUGCAAAUUUGUAUUGGAAUAUCCUCUAUGACUGCACCUAGAAGUAGAUUGUUGACUUUGUUUAUCCUCUGGGACUGCCCUCUUAAGUUAUUUGAAUACUCCUCUAGCAGUUGAUGUUCUCUUGCCUGAUAGUAUGCUAUGUAAUGUUACGAAAUUUGCACUUGAAUCAUAAAUUUAGACGAAGUUUGGUCUUUGAUUGACAGUUUGUAUGAUGACAUAACAUCUCAAUGGCAAGAGAACAUUUCCCAUUUGUUAUGUAUGAGGCUGUGGUUGGUUGAUGAACUAAAAAUUAGGUAUUUUCUUUCUCAACACUUGAAGAUUUCUUCUUUCAUAACAGUCGAGAUUGCUAAUUGUUUUCCAGUUAGUCCCUAAGCUUGGAGAACAUAGAUUGGGUGUGCAUGCAUGUGCUUGAUCAUAAAGGAACUCUUCUACACCUCUUUUUCUAGCACACGUUUCUUUAAAUUUUAAGUAUUUUUGAUAAAGUUUGUUUGGAUUCCUCCUUCAGGAGGACUGAGAAAAAGGAAGAGGCCCUAGAAACACCAUGUAUAAAGUAAGAUUUGAGUUGUUCGAUCUUUGCUGCAGGUUGCGCUGAAACAUAUGAGGACUUCUUUAUGGGAUCUGUGCAUUUUAAAGAUGUAGCUCAAGCGCACAUUUUAGUGUAUGAGAACAAAUCAGCAACCGGUAGGCACUUGUGUGUGGAAGCUAUAUCACAUUAUGGUGACUUUGUGGCAGAGGUUGCUGAACUUUACCCUGAGUACAAGGUUCCCAGGUAAUUUUGGCCCGCAAAAUGCAUUUGCAAAUGAAAUUGUGUGCAUAUCUUAUGUUUUAGAUGUUUGGUUUCCUGAUAAGUGAAUGUAUCGUCCCUUGUCAGAAGCACAACUUAAAAUAUACUCUGUCUUGAUUUUGAGCCGAGGUUUCUUAGAUACACUGAACUCUUCUACAGCUGGAGGACUAUGGUUUUUUCUUUCCGUUUUUUCCUCCCAUCAUGUGUUAGAUAUUUGUGACCAAAUUAGCAAAUUGAAAUCUGUUUUUUCCUGUAAAAGAGUUUAAUGCGGGUAUAAAUGUACAUAUAUCGUCUUUAUUUGGUCUAAUUCAGAAUCCCUUCCAAAUGUUGAUUUCCUAGUUAUUCAACCUUUUGGUGCAUUGUUGCUUGCCUUGGCAGAAUUUUACAAAUUUUUCAGGUGAUGUGAGUGCCUGAUUUUGAAAAUUAUAGAGCUAAUAUGUUUGCCUUUGUGUAGUUUGCCAAAGGACACCCAACCUGGCUUGCUGAGGGAAAAGAACGGAGCGAAGAAGCUAAUGAACUUGGGUUUGGAAUUCAUUCCCAUGGAUCAAAUUAUCAAGGAUGCUGUUGAGAGCCUAAAGAGCAAGGGAUUUAUUUCAUAAAUGAAACUGCGGGGAUAUGAAACUUAUCAGGGAUCUAGGUAUGUCUUGUACUAGUAGCGAGGACAUGUAACCUGAAUGGUUGUUUCAACUCCUUUGAAUAUUCCUUUUUCUGUGAAGAAAAUAAUGUUAAUAUGUGUGUACGACAAGUUUACCUUAAAGUUCACACUUUAAUUGGGUUAGCUGUAAGUUAGAAUAUCAGUGCAUUGUUGGACUGGAACGCUAUGUGGUGGCUAACCAGUUCCACGUAAGUUCUCCCAGUCUACGUCAAAUUCUUUGUAUAACAAGAGAACUUCUUAAUUUUCACUGCACCGAAAGUUAAAAGGAGUAAUAGCAAGUAAUUACUAACAUGUGGCUAGUACUGUGAAGCGAAAGCAGCAGCAACAGCUCCUCCAUGUUCGGUGUUUGAUAUGAUGCACCACCUUGGCGGGGACGUUAGCAAAGUGGAUUCCAAUCUUCUCGAGAAAAUCCUACCAGAUUAAAUGUAUGGUCGAGCAGUUGAGGUGCGUAGAGAAGAGUACCAGAGGCAGAGAUUUGAGUCCA